rnacentral:rRNA from 1 species
GUGGUUUAAUUCGAAGCAACGCGUAAGAACCUUUACCAGGUCUUGACAUCCGAUGCUAUUUCUAGAGAUAGAAAGUUACUUCGGUACAUCGGUGACAGGUGGUGCAUGGUUGUCGUCAGCUCGUGUCGUGAGAUGUUGGGUUAAGUCCCGCAACGAGCGCAACCCCUAUUGUUAGUUGCCAUCAUUCAGUUGGGCACUCUAGCGAGACUGCCGGUAAUAAACCGGAGGAAGUGGGGAUGACGUCAAAUCAUCAUGCCCCUUAUGACCUGGGCUACACACGUGCUACAAUGGUUGGUACAACGAGUUGCGAGUCGGUGACGGCGAGCUAAUCUCUUAAAGCCAAUCUCAGUUCGGAUUGUAGGCUGCAACUCGCCUACAUGAAGUCGGAAUCGCUAGUAAUCGCGGAUCAGCACGCCGCGGUGAAUACGUUCCCGGGCCUU